rnacentral:rRNA from 1 species
GAGUUUGAUCGUGGCUCAGGAUGAACGCUGGCGGCGUGCUUAACACAUGCAAGUCGAACGAGAACCAUUGGAUCGAGGAUUCGUCCAAGUGAAGGUGGGGAAAGUGGCGGACGGGUGAGUAACGCGUGAGCAAUCUGCCUUGGAGUGGGGGAAUAACGGCUGGAAACAGCCGCUAAUACCGCAUGAUACAGCUGGGAGGCAUCUCCCUGGCUGUCAAAGAUUUAUCGCUCUGAGAUGAGCUCGCGUCUGAUUAGCCAGUUGGCGGGGUAACGGCCCACCAAGGCGACGAUCAGUAGCCGGACUGAGAGGUUGGCCGGCCACAUUGGGACUGAGACACGGCCCAGACUCCUACGGGAGGCAGCAGUGGGGAAUAUUGGGCAAUGGGCGCAAGCCUGACCCAGCAACGCCGCGUGAAGGAAGAAGGCUUUCGGGUUGUAAACUUCUUUGUCUAGGGACGAAGCAAGUGACGGUACCGUGACGAAUAAGCACGGCUAACUACGUGCCAGCCG